CUCGAGGGUUAACAGUUUGGUUCGUAUUUUUACGCCGUUAUUUUUUUGUUGUCGACACGUGUCACCUCACUGAAGUUGUGUCUUUUACGAGCCAGCUUCGAUUUUUUUCCGGGAAAGAAAUCACCGCGUUUUUUCGUGGUUAGCUGCUCUGACACUUGAGACAGAAAACGGGGCUACGCAGUUUUCCAGCGAACAAAAAUGUCGGGCGUUACGCUACAUACAGUGAAGAUCCUCGCGUGACUGCCUUUCCUUCUUUCAUCCGGACACUAGGGAGAACUACCGCUUUUACGAGACGAACCUUGACGAACUCGUGGAAGACAGAACUGACUAUUUCGCAGAGAGAGGAGCAAAGGACUCUUUCUCCGACGCCGUUCAUGUUUUUCUGUGCAUGUUUGCUCCGGUUUUUUGCGUGCGUGUGUAUGAACGUCUCUCCACCUUUCGCCUUUUGCCUUUCGCGUGGGUACAUGCGAUUUUUCCUGAGAAAGGCUGGCCCUGAGGUAGCACACUUUCGUUUGGAGCCCUUUUCUGCGCUUUUGCGUGGAGGCGAUCGCGUUCUCGUGCCCACCUCUCGGGAAACACGGGCCCUCUCCAGCAACGUGCUGUCUUCACGCAUCCCUUCUCCAAAAAGGGAGAUUCACACGGCCUGGCAUGUGGGACUGUAGGGGAGAGUAAAGAUACAUGUAGAUAUCUGAAUGUGUGUAUAUCGUCCACAUCCGUCGAUUCAGAAUUGGGAAGCACGCUGGGUUGCGAUCGCCUCUCGCACAUUGCUGUUUAGGCCGCCUUUUUGGCAGAGCUCGCUGCCGGCACCCACAACAGCUCUUCUUGUUUCGUCGUCGUGUGUAGUCACUGCGCCGGGUUGAGCGUUUUCUUCCAUGGCGGCUCGUGCGCACGGAAGCUCCAGCGGGAGCACGACGGCAACCGUGCAGCCGCCCGCUGUGGUGCACAUUGUCGCUGAGAACCGGAACAGCGUGCCGGUGCCUCGGGAACAUGAGGCUGCAGUGCCACUGCCUGAGCGCCGUGUAAGCUGGGACGCGGCUGCAAUUGACAAUGAGAACAUGAACAAAAAGAAAAGCAAAAAGUGCUGCAUUUUCCACAAGCAACGCCCGUUCGGGGAGUCCUCGAGUGACAGUGACAGCGAUGGCAACUCAGACACUGGACCGGCGCACGGGUCUUGUGGAGAAAAAGGGGAGUGUAAGCGAGGUCAACCCUGCUGUCACCACCAUUCCAACACGCCGCCCGGGGAAGCGCCGGAAAACCGGUCUGAGGCGUGAACAAAUCGCAGCGAAUGUCAAUCUGUGGUAACGGGAUAUGCAGGAACACUUCUCGUGUGUCGCCAUGUGUGACAGUGGCAUAAGUACAAGCAGCUCUACAUCCUUUUAUGGAUGCACACCCGUUUCGCUCUAUGCUUCAACAUUCAGGUGUCAGCCUCUGUAUACCUGUCGGUCCGCCGAUUUACCAAUCCUUUUUUUUCCCGACAUAUGUGUGGUCCGUGCCAGCAGACGCCCUUUUGGAAACUGUGUGCACGGCAGAGGGGUGCAGACAUGUAUGUGUAAAUCUGUGGAUAUUGAUCUGCGCUUCCACGCGUGCCUUUCGAUAUAAAAGCGUUUUCUGCGUUCGUACGUCUGCGCCGAUUUUCUGCGGGGGUUGAAUCACAACGUAAUGCCAGCCGCUGAGGGGACCUCGUUUUAUUACAAGAAAUGACAUCAAUGUACAGUUGCAAAUGGUGCGAGAUGCGUCUAACCACUUUCGUUCCUUUUUGCAAUGGUAGUGGAUAGGUGACUCUGAACCGUGAAUGAUGCUGUGUGCGUGUAGCAUCUGUACGCGAGUUGUCACUUUUUCCUUUGCAAACUGAUCUGCAGCCUUUCCGUUCUGCUUCUGCGCAAUCAAUCGGAACGUCCCUUAAAUGGAAAGUGCCUGAAG
rnacentral:lncRNA from 1 species